rnacentral:tRNA from 1 species
UGUUGCUCAGGGGUAGAGUGCUUGCCUAGCAAGUAUGAGGCACUGAGUUCAAUUCUCAGCA